rnacentral:lncRNA from 1 species
ACAGGAAAUAUAUAGCACUGUGUACGAUGUAUGUUACUGUCCUCUUUGAGGCUACAGGAACUAUAAAGCACUGUGUACAGUAUGUUACUGUCCUCUGAGGCUACAGGAAAUAUAUAGCACUGUGUACAGUAUGUUACUGUCCUCUGAGGCUACAGGAAAUAUAAAGCACUGUGUACAGUAUGUUACUGUCCUCUGAGGCUACAGGAAAUAUAAAGACACAGUGUCCUACUGUCCUCUGAGGCUACAG